AUUGAACGCUGGCGGCAGGCCUAACACAUGCAAGUCGAGCGGGAACUUCGGUUCUAGCGGCGGACGGGUGAGUAAUGCGUAGGAAGCUACCCGACAGAGGGGGAUACCAGUUGGAAACGACUGUUAAUACCGCAUAAUGUCUACGGACCAAGGUGUGGGACCUUCGGGCCACAUGCUGUCGGAUGCGCCUACGUGGGAUUAGCUAGUUGGUGAGGUAAUGGCUCACCAAGGCGACGAUCCCUAGCUGGUUUGAGAGGAUGAUCACCCACACUGGAACUGAGACCCGGUCCAGACUCCUACGGGAGGCAGCAGUGGGGAAUAUUGGACAGUGGGCGCAAGCCUGAUCCAGCCAUGCCGCGUGUGUGAAGAAGGCCUUCGGGUUUUAAAGCACUUUCAGUAGGGAGGAAGAGUUGAGUGUUAAUAUUACUCAGCUUUGACGUUACCUACAGAAGAAGCACCGGCUAACUCUGUGCCAGCAGCCGCCGUAAGAC
rnacentral:rRNA from 1 species